UACGUAGGUGGCAAGCGUUGUCCGGAAUUAUUGGGCGUAAAGCGCGCGCAGGCGGUCCUUUAAGUCUGAUGUGAAAGCCCACGGCUCAACCGUGGAGGGUCAUUGGAAACUGGAGGACUUGAGUACAGAAGAGGAAAGCGGAAUUCCACGUGUAGCGGAUGAAAUGCGUAGAGAUGUGGAGGAACACCAGUGGCGAAGGCGGCUUUCUGGUCGUGUAACUGACGCUGAGGCGCGAAAAGCGUGGGGAGCAAACAGG
rnacentral:rRNA from 1 species